rnacentral:rRNA from 1 species
UGCCAGACUCCUACGGGAGGCAGCAGUGAGGAAUAUUGGCCAAUGGACGCAAGUCUGAACCAGCCAUGCCGCGUGCAGGAUGACGGCUCUAUGAGUUGUAAACUGCUUUUGUACGAGGGUAAACCCCGAUACGUGUAUCGGGUUGAAAGUAUCGUACGAAUAAGGAUCGGCUAACUCCGUGCCAGCAGCCGCGGUAAUACGUAGGGAGCGAGCGUUAUCCGGAAUUAUUGGGUGUAAAGGGUGCGUAGACGGGUAAAUAAGUUAGUUGUGAAAUCCCUCGGCUCAACUGAGGAACUGCAACUAAAACUGUAUAUCUUGAGUGCGGGAGAGGAAAGUGGAAUUCCUAGUGUAGCGGUGAAAUGCGUAGAUAUUAGGAGGAACACCAGUGGCGAAGGCGACUUUCUGGGCCGUAACUGACGUUGAGGCACGAAAGCGUGGGGAGCAAACAGGAUUAGAUACCCGUGUA